AUACCGUCGCAACUCUCCUCUUUGACAAAGCUGUGGUGGCAAAAGUUUGCAGAUUAUAGCUGGCCUAAGGAAGAGGUUUACUGUCCUAUAGGUUUGUAAGCGAUACAGCAGAACAAAGUUUAAACACUGUGGAAUGGUGAGGCUGGAAAAACUGCAAGAAGGACCCUGAAAAGACAGCCCUUCCUUACUUCGCUUCUGGUCUGAGCAUAGGUAAAUGCCCAAGAGUGCAAGGAUCCUGAUGCCAGAUGCUGGAGCUCUAAAGGGAGCUGCUGACUGAUUGAUAGUCACCAAGGGGGAAUGUUUGCAUCAAAUGAACAAUACAAGAGAAGACUGCAAAGGAGAACUGGCUGUACAUUUAGUAAAAGGUCAUUAGCUCAUUAUGAAUGUGACCAAAAAUUGGAUUACAUGCCAGACUGAAUAGCUGCAACAAGAAUUCAUCAGUCUGCAAAUCGUCUAUUACAGAAUAAAAUGAGAAGGGAGCUGAGCUACAGUUUUUGUCAACUUUAUAAACAACUACAGAAAAAAAGGGCAUAAACAGCCAGAGAGAAGACACGACAAGAUGAAAAAAUCAAACUGAAAAAAGAAAUCAUUUGAAAAGGAAAGAAUUUGAUCUUCAAUGGUUUGCUUUACUUAUUUCACUGACUUUGAAGUCCUUUGCUUGACCUCAACUAAGAAAGCAGUAUUCUUCAGAGGAAUAUAUUUGAUAUUAUUAAUAAAAGUAGAGGAG